AACGUAGGAGGCGAGCGUUAUCCGGAUUUACUGGGCGUAAAGCGCGCGUAGGCGGUUGGUUAAGUCGGAUGUGAAAGCCCCUGGCUCAACUAGGGGAGGCCAUUCGAUACUGAUCGGCUUGAGGGUGAGAGAGGGGAGUGGAAUUCCCGGUGUAGCGGUGGAAUGCGUAGAGAUCGGGAGGAACACCAGUGGCGAAAGCGGCUCCCUGGUUCACCCCUGACGCUGAGUGCGCGACAGCGUGGGGAGCAAACGGG
rnacentral:rRNA from 1 species